rfam:Leclercia adecarboxylata strain I1 Leclercia_S84_R1__paired__contig_27, whole genome shotgun sequence.
ACAGUGCCAUGGCCGUCUGAGCUAAGCAUUAAACCAACUGAAAAGGCGCAGAUAUCUGCGCCUUUUUU